UACGGAGGAGGCAAGCGUUAUCCGGAAUUAUUGGGCGUAAAGCGUCCGCAGGUGGCAAUUCAAGUCUGUCGUCAAAGACCGGGGCUUAACCCCAGAAAGGCGGUGGAAACUGAACAGCUAGAGUGCGGUAGGGGUAGAGGGAAUUCCCGGUGUAGCGGUGAAAUGCGUAGAGAUCGGGAAGAACAUCGGUGGCGAAAGCGCUCUACUGGACCGCAACUGACACUGAGGGACGAAAGCUAGGGGAGCGAAUGGG
rnacentral:rRNA from 1 species